rnacentral:lncRNA from 1 species
UAUAUGUCCAUCUAUGUGGCCAUCUUCUCAUUUUAAUUACCAAUACAUGUUUCAGCUUGCUUUUUGGAAAAAGUGUUGAGAUGCAAAUGUGUCUUUGGAAGUGUCACUGAGAAACCCAAGGUCUAUCUGGCAUUCCGCUCCUGGCGGCAGACCGUAGUCUUUGUCCACGGGUUGGGAAGAGAGCUGUGAAACAGGGAGGCCUUGCCGACUGUCCUACCUGCAAUCUGGACUUUGCACAUGGAGCCUCUACUUAGGGGAUUAGUUUUUUGACUACUGCUGUUUGAUUUUUGCUUUUUAAUUGGGUUAUUUGAGGUGAAUGCAUGGUUUAGGUUUCUCGUUCUUUGUGUUGGACAGAAUUAAAGGGAAAUUUGAG